UCUUACAGGUGAGCAGAUAAAGUGGUUUCUUGAGCUAGAAUCUACUCCUGGUGAAGAUGCUGUGAA
rnacentral:pre_miRNA from 1 species